rnacentral:sRNA from 1 species
UUUUGCUCAACAGAAAUGACUUUUCGGGUUAUGAUGUGCGGCAUUG